rnacentral:lncRNA from 1 species
CGGGCGGAGAGCGCGGGAAGGGCCCGCGGCGCCCUGAGGGCCGCUCGUUCCCUUCCCGUCCCCCUCACCGUCCCAUUUUGAAGUGUUUUUUUCCCCUCACAGCGUGAAGAUUUUGGGGUCAACGCUGCUCUUUCCUCCCCCUCCACACGCGCCCUCCCAGAGAUGGAUUGCAGAACAAAGCCACUCACCUACAACGCUAUGAUCCAAUUACACACAAUUACUCUCACUUUGGCCCGUACGUAUCUUGGAUUUUAUAUAUUUAUUACCUUUGUUUUCCUCCAUUGGCUUUCUACUGUCCUAAGAGCAAGAGGGAAAAAAAAUUACACGCACACACCCAAAAGAAAAAAAAAAAAGACGAAAAAUAAUAGUUAAAAAAGGUAAAAACAAGCAAAAUGCGACCAGCCGCCCAUUUGAUCAGUCCGUGGUGAAGAUUGGUGCCUGAAUGCUUUAUUUGUUCCACAGAGGUGUAGAUUUCCCUUGGGAUGUUGGGGAAAGAUUUCUUAAUUAAAGGAUAAAAAAAUAAAAAGUAAAAAAUAAAGCAGUGAAACAGAACCAAAAAGGAAAGCAAUAUUAAUUAUUUAAAAAAAAGAAAAAAAAAAAAAGAAGAAGGCAGCUGACUCUGCCAGUGCAGUCGGGCAGGCACUGAAUUCAUUGCACCGAAAUGAGGACGGAUGAGCUGAACUGAGUGGCAGGGCUUAGUGCAGCUCCGGGAGGAGGGCUCAGCUCCUUGUCCCACUAUCCAGCGCCGCACACACCACCAUUUGUGUGCUUUUGUGCUUUAUUUCCAGCCCCGCGGGCUGCCCUACGUGAUGCACGGAGCGACGUGCGUGCCCCGCUGCUGUGCAUUCCUCUCCCUUUUAUUGCCUGCUCUAUGGCUCAGCUCGCUUUUUUUUUUCUCCCCCCUCUGCGGGCAGCAGGGUUGCUCUGCUUUCCUCUCCCCAGC